GACGAACGCUGGCGGCGUGCCUAAUACAUGCAAGUUGAGCGCUGAAGGUUGGUACUUGUACCAACUGGAUGAGCAGCGAACGGGUGAGUAACGCGUGGGGAAUCUGCCUUUGAGCGGGGGACAACAUUUGGAAACGAAUGCUAAUACCGCAUAAAAACUUUAAACACAAGUUUUAAGUUUGAAAGAUGCAAUUGCAUCACUCAAAGAUGAUCCCGCGUUGUAUUAGCUAGUUGGUGAGGUAAAGGCUCACCAAGGCGAUGAUACAUAGCCGACCUGAGAGGGUGAUCGGCCACAUUGGUACUGAGACACGGCCCAAACUCCUACGGGAGGCAGCAGUAGGGAAUCUUCGGCAAUGGACGAAAGGCUGACCGAGCAACGCCGCGUGAGUGAAGAAGGUUUUCGGAUCGUAAAACUCUGUUGGUAGAGAAGAACGUUGGUGAGAGUGGAAAGCUCAUCAAGUGACGGUAACUACCCAGAAAGGGACGGCUAACUACGUG
rnacentral:rRNA from 1 species